rnacentral:rRNA from 1 species
CAGCCGCCGCGGUAAUACGAAGGGGGCUAGCGUUGUUCGGAAUUACUGGGCGUAAAGCGCACGUAGGCGGACAUUUAAGUCAGGGGUGAAAUCCCGGGGCUCAACCCCGGAACUGCCUUUGAUACUGGGUGUCUAGAGUAUGGAAGAGGUGAGUGGAAUUCCGAGUGUAGAGGUGAAAUUCGUAGAUAUUCGGAGGAACACCAGUGGCGAAGGCGGCUCACUGGUCCAUUACUGACGCUGAGGUGCGAAAGCGUGGGGAGCAAACAGGAUUAGAUACCCGGGUAGUCCCUGUCUCUAUACA